ensembl:snoRNA Gm25415 small nucleolar RNA SNORA17
CCAGCCUUUAGAUGCAUUUCAGGUGUGGCUGCUGUGUCCCAUGUGCAUCCAUAGGUGGCAGAGAAGAGAAAACCUAUGUCUAUGCUCAAUAUUCUGUCCUGGAAACAUCUGAGUGUUUAGUAAUCUAACACU